rnacentral:tRNA from 1 species
UCUAGAGGACUAGUGGUUAGGCCCCGGCGCUCUCACAGCCAUGGCCCGGGUUCGAUUCCCAGCCGCUGGGG